AAGCCCCUGCGCUGUGCGAUUUGUUGCAGCCUUUUAUAAUCCGACAAGUUAAGUUAAAAGGGAGCUUUUGUCCGGCGGCGGAUUGCAGACCUCCCUGCGUUGCAGGAAGAAGGGAGCGUGAACCCGCAGGCGGGGCACCCACCUGUCAUAUUGAGAGACGGGUUUUAACUUGGCCGCAGACGGCAGGGCAGGGCUUU
rnacentral:other from 1 species